GAUGAACGCUGGCGGCGUGCCUAACACAUGCAAGUCGAGCGGCAGCGCGGGGUGCUUGCACCCUGUCGGCGAGCGGCGGACGGCUGAGUAACGCGUGGGAACGUGCCCCAAAGUGAGGAAUAACUGCCCGAAAGGGUAGCUAAUACCGCAUAUUAUCUUCGGAUCAAAGGAUUUAUCCGCUUUGGGAGCGGCUCGCGUCGGAUUAGGUAGUUGGUGAGGUAAUGGCUCACCAAGCCGACGAUCCGUAGCUGGUCUGAGAGGAUGACCAGCCAGACUGGAACUGAGACGCGGUCCAGACUCCUACGGGAGGGAGCAGUGAGGAAUCUACCACAAUGGGCGAAAGGCUGAUGGAGCAACGCCGCGUGCAGGACGAAGGCCUUCGGGUUGUAAACUGCUUUUAUAAGUGAGGAAUAUGACGGUAACUUAUGAAUAAGGAUCGGCUAACUACGUG
rnacentral:rRNA from 1 species